rfam:Candidatus Beckwithbacteria bacterium CG1_02_47_37 cg1_0.2_scaffold_15091_c, whole genome shotgun sequence.
GGGCCUGUAGCACAGCGGUAGUGCGCCGCAUUCGCAUUGCGGAAACGGGAGUUCGAUCCCCCCCAGGUCCA